rnacentral:rRNA from 1 species
GAUGAACGCUGACAGAAUGCUUAACACAUGCAAGUCGAUGGGGAAGUGGUGCUUGCACCAUGGUAACCAUGGCGGACGGGUGAGUAACGCGUAAGGAACUUGCCUGCGGGACUGGGAUAACAGCAGGAAACUGCUGAUAAUACCGGAUAAGGUCAUUAAGCUGCAUAGCUUAGUGAUGAAAGGAGACGCCUGCGGAGAGCCUUGCGUCCUAUUAGCUAGUUGGAGGGGUAACGGCCCACCAAGGCGAAGAUAGGUAGCCGGCCUGAGAGGGUGGACGGCCACAAGGGGACUGAGAUACGGCCCUGACGCCUACGGGAGGCAGCAGUGGGGAAUAGUGGACAAUGGGGGCAACCCUGAUCCAGCAAUUCUGUGUGCACGAAGACGGUUUUCGGAUUGUAAAGUGCUUUCAGCAGGGAAGAAGGAAGUGACGGUACCUGUAGAAGAAGCGACGGCUAAAUACGUG